UCGCUUUGGCAGCACAUAUACUAAAAUUGGAAUGAUACAGAGAACAUUAACAUGGCCCCUGCUCAAGAAUGACAUACAGGCCGGGCGCGGUGGCUCAAGCCUGU